GACUGGAUAAAGAAAAUGUGGUACGUGUACACUAUAGAAUACUAUACAACUAGCUCUUGGUUUUCGGCUCGGAGGAGGCCAAGGUGCAACUUUCUUCAGUCGUCCCGAAUCCGGGUUCAUCUGACACCAGCCGCCUCCACCAUGCCGCUGAAGUUCGACCCCAACGAGAUCAAAGUCUUAUACCUGAGGUGCACCGGACGCAAGGUCGGUGCCACUUCUGCCCUGGCCCCCAAGAUCGGCCCCCUGGGUCUGUCUCCGAGAAAGGUUAGUGAUGACAUUGCCAAGGCAACGGGUGACUGGAAGGGCCUGAGGAGUACAAUGAAACUGACCAUUCAGAACAGACAGGCCCAGAUUGAGGUGGUGCCUUCUGCCUCUGCCCUGAUCAUCAAAGCCCUCAAGGAACCACCAAGAGACAGAAAGAAACAGAAAAACAUUAAACACAGUGGGAAUAUCACUUUUGAUGAGAUCGUCAACAUUGCUCGACAGAUGCGGCACUGAUCCUUAGCCAGAGAACUCUCUGGAAUCAUUAAAGAGAUCCUGGGGACUGCCCAGUCUGUGGGCUGUAAUGCUGAUGGCCGCCACCCUCAUGACAUCAUAGAUGACAUCAACAAACAGUGGUGCUGUGGAAUGCCCAGCCAGUUAAGCACAAAGGAAAGUAUUUCAAUAAAGGAUCAUUUGACCAAAAAAAAAA